UACAGAGGGGGCAAGCGUUGUUCGGAAUUACUGGGCGUAAAGGGCGCGUAGGCGCCUGCUAAGUCGAACGUGAAAUCCCCGGGCUCAACCCGGGAACUGCGUCCGAUACUGGCAGGCUUGAAUCCGGGAGAGGGAUGUGGAAUUCCAGGUGUAGCGGUGAAAUGCGUAGAUAUCUGGAGGAACACCGGUGGCGAAGGCGGUCA
rnacentral:rRNA from 1 species